rnacentral:rRNA from 1 species
AGUGAACGCUGGCGGCGUGCCUAAUACAUGCAAGUCGAACGGAGUGGCGCACGGAUGAGUAAUUUAUAGCUAAUCUGCUCCAUACUAGAGGACAACAGUUGGUAACAACUGCUAAUACUAUAUAGUGUCGGAUGUGGCUAUAUUGUAUCAACUAGUUGGUGAGGUAAUGGCGCACCAAGGCUAUGACACAUAACUAGUCUGAGGGGAUGAUCAGUAACACUGUAACUGAGACACGGUUCAGACUCCUACGGGAGGGAGCAGUAGGGAAUAGUGCUCAAUGGGGGAAGACCUAGAGCAGCAACGCGGCGUGGAGGAUGACACUUGUGGGAGAGUAAACUCCUUUUGUUAGGGAAGCGUUACCUAAAGAAUAAGCACCGGCUAACUCCGUGCCAGCCGCCGCGGUAAUAC